AUGGAAGCUUGGAAGCAACAGACACCAGGACCCGAAGGCAGAGCGCUGCACCCACUGCCCAAAGCACCCUCAGGUGGGUGGCUGUGGAAGAAGGAGCUCUGGAUGCCCUGUGCCAGGGGAACUGGAUCCCUCUCAGCUGCCAGGUACAGGGUGGGAGCAGAGGUGCCCCCAGGACCUCACCCAGCCUCCCACAGCAAGGAGUGGUCCCCUGCCCACGCCCAGCCUUGCCCUCCCACUCCCACCAACAUUUCGCUUUGCUCCCACUUCACCGGGACCUUCCCUUCUCAUCCUGUAGGGGUUGGUGGAGGAAAACUCCCCGUGUCACAUGGCAGAGAACAAAAGGAGAUGUUUUUAACUGAGCAGAUUCAUCUUUGGCAAGAACAGGGCGAUGCCACACCAGCCUCGCUUCUCCCACAGGAAUCGGUCCGGCACAAACGUGGUGGGUUUGCUGACAAGGAGCACAUCCCAUCCACUCCAACCCUUCCACCUCUGGCAGCUGCCAGGAUGGGACAAAUCUGGGGCUUGGUGCAGGCAAAAGAUGGAUAUCACACCAACAAAAUGAAGGGAAAACCCAAGAUCCAAGCAAACAGCAUUGCACCAGGAGCUCAGGGUUUUCCUGAGACGAUACCAUCCUCCACGAGAAUUCCCAGGCGUCUUCACCAUUCCUGGCACAGCUCUUGUGCCAAAAUGCCACGAGAAAGGAAAAACACGGCCACAAGGAGCAUGGCUGCCAGUGCUUGGCCAACCGUGUCCUCAGCAGGAGAAGACAAAGCUUUCCCACACUGUGAUUUCCCUGAGAUCCUCUGCUGCGUUUCCAGCAGAUGGGAAGGAUUUCACAAGCCAUGGGAAACAGCUGGGGAGGCUCCUCUCAGUCAACACCACCCCACAUCUCCAAUGUCCCCACCAGUACCAGGUCACCACCUGCCCCACCACUCCCUCCCAUCCCCAACACCAUUAAAAGAGGUCCUCGUUUUCCUACCUGGUGCUGGGAACAUCUACGAGUCAGGUUCCUCCAGCAGCUCCAUGGUGAGCUCGGGGUUGUCUCAGCACAGCUGGAAGAUAAAGCCACCAAGAGAAAAGCUCAGUGUCCCUGCAGAGGUGGCGUUUUUCAGGGCAGGCUCCUCCUGCAUGGCCGCUGGGAGCCCAUCCUGCAGGAGCCGUGGGGCUCUCCACGUCCUCCUGGGCUGGUGA
rnacentral:lncRNA from 1 species